UACGUAGGGUGCAAGCGUUGUCCGGAAUCAUUGGGCGUAAAGCGCGUGUAGGCGGCCAGGUAGGUCGGUUGUGAAAACUGGAGGCUCAACCUUCAGAGGUCGACCGAAACCAUCUGGCUAGAGUCCGGGAGAGGAGAGUGGAAUUCCUGGUGUAGCGGUGAAAUGCGCAGAUAUCAGGAAGAACACCCGUGGCGAAAGCGGCUCUCUGGGACGGUACUGACGCUGAGACGCGAAAGCGUGGGGAGCGAACAGG
rnacentral:rRNA from 1 species